rnacentral:rRNA from 1 species
CCUACGGGUGGCAGCAGUGAGGAAUAUUGGUCAAUGGGCGCGAGCCUGAACCAGCCAAGUCGCGUGAGGGAAGACGGUCCUAUGGAUUGUAAACCUCUUUUGUCGGGGAGCAAAAGACGCCACGCGUGGCGUUCCGAGAGUACCCGAAGAAAAAGCAUCGGCUAACGCCGUGCCAGCAGCCGCGGUAAUACGGAGGAUGCGAGCGUUAUCCGGAUUUAUUGGGUUGAAAGGGUGCGCAGGCGGAAGAUCAAGUCAGCGGUAAAAUUGAGAGGCUCAACCUCUUCGAGCCGUUGAAACUGGUUUUCUUGCGUGAGCGCGACGUCUGCGGCAUGCGUGGUGUAGCGGU